UACGUAGGGUCCGAGCGUUGUCCGGAAUUAUUGGGCGUAAAGGGCUCGUAGGCGGUUCGUCACGUCGGGAGUGAAAACUCGGAGCUUAACUCCGAGCCUGCUUCCGAUACGGGCAGACUAGAGGUAGGCAGGGGAGAGCGGAACUCCUGGUGUAGCGGUGGAAUGCGCAGAUAUCAGGAAGAACACCGGUGGCGAAGGCGGCUCUCUGGGCAAUUCCUGACGCUGAGGCGCGAAAGCUAGGGGAGCAAACGGG
rnacentral:rRNA from 1 species